GUUCCACUUCAAAGGCGGAUGCACGGACCUCCCAGACGCGGCCUCCCGUGCCUCGGAGCCCCGGCCACGCGUGCGUCCCGCCGAGCAGCGCUCCGUCGCUCCGCAUGGGUGACCCGCAGGCCGAGGCGCCCCCACGGACACAGCCUCGCUGAGCCGCCGCUGAAGUUUCCGAGAGGACCUAAGGGACAAAAGCCGCCCCGCGCCCCGCCCGGCCCGCGCCGCUCGGGCACACGCGGCCCUUUGUUGUCCGGCGGCAUCGGCGACGUCGGGGCGACCCGGACCCGCGCCCGGGGACCCACGCGAGCUCGGGUAUCCUGAGCCACUGGUCCCUGGGGCCAAACUUUUGCGGAGUCCCGGAUGAGAAACGCCCAGAGGUCCCCGCCGCCGUGCAUAUGCUGCGAGUUGGCGACUUUCGCUGUGCUUUGGAAACUGGCAAGACGCCAUCACCAGGAAAUCACAUUGUCCUGCUCCCGACAGCCCCGACGGCGACCGCAGCCCGCGGCUCACUCCGAGCUGGACACUGAGAUGUAGCACGGUCGCGGCCCUAAGCACGUGGCUUGUCAGGUGAAGCACACACAACAAAAAGGGAAAAAAAAAAAAAAAAAAAGAGUUGGGUGCCUCAAGCAGCGGACCGCGCCGCCGCCUUCAUCCGCACUGUUUGGUGCCGCGGGCCACGGCCACCCCUCCCGUGUCGCCCGCACCCACGCUACAGGUGACCAGACGGACAGCGAACUUUGGGCUGCAGAGACCACUCGGCACCGGCCGAGUGCAAAGACCGCGUGCUGCGCGCUCAUUGUCGCAGCCGCGUCCCUGCGGACUUCUCCAACAACGCCACGCCGCGUGCGUCGCGCCAUCCCGGCGCUGGCCCUCACCAGCUGCCUUCAGCCUGUGUGGCCGCCGGCUCCAGGAACUGGCAAGUUAGUUUCCGAGCUCCGGCUUUGUUGUUCACCCGCGUGCAAACACCGUCGCGAGCGCCGGGGUAGCGCAACACGCGGGUGCACGCGGAGCCCAAGCCCCUGGCCAGAGCAGAGCCCACACGGGAUCUGCGACCCCGACCCUGCUCUCCGGGUCUGCAGGAAACACUACGACCUAGAAAAGUCAUUGUCACUUUCAGCGUGGAUGCAAGUCCGCCGCAGCUCGUUCGUUUCCACGCUGCACUCACUUUCCCCACACCCUGACUUUCGGUUUACCUCAAAUAUCCUCCUCAAUUAAGAAGCGCAUCUCCAACGCCUCUGUACAAAAGAAUCUGGAGUCCGGAGAGCACGAGGGCAGCGCUCCCCGCAAUGCCAUCUCCAAGACAAAACUUCCUGUGUGUUUGUGUAUGGGAAGGACGGAGGAGGCGGGGGAGGUAAAGGGAGGAAAGAAAAAAAAAAAAUCACAGAAAACAAAACCUCGGAGACAGUUUUGCACCGAUGUCCGGACUAGAAUCACUCACCUUCCACGCGCAGCAGCGUCCCCACGGUGCAAACUGCACCAGGCCAACCUCCUGCAAGCACUCCCUCCGCCAGCGCCGAGUCCAGAAAGAUUGUCUCCAGCAGUUCUUCAGUUGCUACCGCGAACGGAGGGCCUGCCUGGCUUGUGAGACUGCUCAACUGGUACUUUCAAGUCUGAUCACCUGAAGGCAAUAACCAACUUCUGCAAAUUCGCCCCGCGCACCACAUGCACACACAAAUUAAAAUUUCAAUUCUCCAACAGAGUUUUCGUUCUUUGGGGCUUUGAUGAUAAAUUGUUUAAUAAAGUCGCAUUUUGAAAUGGUCAAAAAAAAAAAAAAAAAAAAA
rnacentral:lncRNA from 1 species